CACCUCUCUCCCCUUCCUUCUCCGGCAGGUGGGUGCCAGCCUCCGGCAUCUGUGCUCCUGUUCCUCACCACACGAUGGCCCCAGAGCCCCAUGAAACCUGUAAAUGAUGCCAGAGGCCUAAGCUGCUCUCUCAAAGAGGUGAAGUCUAGCCAUGUUGCCCAGGCUUGUCUCAAACUCCAGGUCUCAAGUGAUCCUCCUGCUUUGGCCUCCCAAAGUGCUGGGAUUUCAGGUGUGAGCCUUUUCUUUCUUUCUUUCUUUCUUUCUUUCUUUCUUUCUUUCUUUCUUUCUUUCUUUCUUUCUUUCUUUCUUUCUUUCUUCCGUCCUUCCUUCCUUCCUUCCUUCCUUGCCUGCCUUCCUUCCUUCCUUCCUUCCUUCCUUCCUUCCUUCCUUCCUUCCUUUCUUGCCUGCCUUCCUUCCUUCCUUCCUUCCUUCCUUCCUUCCUUCCUUC
rnacentral:lncRNA from 13 species